UACGAAGGGGGCUAGCGUUGCUCGGAAUCACUGGGCGUAAAGGGCGCGUAGGCGGCGUUUUAAGUUGGGGGUGAAAGCCUGUGGCUCAACCACAGAAUUGCCUUCGAUACUGGGACGCUUGAGUGUGGUAGAGGUUGGUGGAACUGCGAGUGUAGAGGUGAAAUUCGUAGAUAUUCGCAAGAACACCGAUGGCGAAGGCAGCCCCCUGGGCUAACACUGACGCUCAUGCACGAAAGCGUGGGGAGCAAACAGG
rnacentral:rRNA from 1 species